rnacentral:rRNA from 1 species
UACGGAGGGUGCAAGCGUUAUCCGGAUUCACUGGGUUUAAAGGGUGCGUAGGAGGGCAGGUAAGUCAGUGGUGAAAUCUCCGAGCUUAACUCGGAACUGCCGUUGAUACUAUCUGUCUUGAAUACCGUGGAGGUGAGCGGAAUAUGUCAUGUAGCGGUGAAAUGCUUAGAUAUGACAUAGAACACCAAUUGCGAAGGCAGCUCACUACACGAGCAUUGACUCUGAGGCACGAAAGCGUGGGGAUCAAACAGG